rnacentral:lncRNA from 1 species
UGCCGUGUCUCCCAGGGGGUGUGGGGCGGGGCACAGCAGCUAUCUCCCACUUGCAGAAGAAGACAACCCAGCAUGCCCCAGGCCCCUGGGACCAUCAAUGAUGCAGCAGCCCCUGGACUUCCCAGGGGGUUAGCUCCCAACUGACCUUGAUGCUGGGAAAGAUUGAAGGCAGGAGGAGAAGGGGAGGACGGAAGAUGAGAUGGUUGGAUGGCAUCACCAACUCAAUGGACAUGAGUUUGAGCAAGCUCUGGGAGUUGGUGAUGGGCAGGGAAGCCUAGCAUGCUACAGUCCUUGGGAUCUCAAAGAGUUGGACAUGACUGAGCAACUGAACUGAACUGAGGUGCCAGAAAGUGUUGCCUUUGGAGCAGCCAACCCACAGCAACCCUGAAGAGGAAGCCAGGGUUAUAAACACGCCAGCCAGUCUCCAAGCUCCUGCUGGUGCCUCCAGGCCUUGGGGAUAGCUCUAAAACAGAUAGGGUUCCAGUUAUCACAGAUUUACACACACUGGCAUCAGAGUGGGCCUCCUGGAGAAGGUGACCAUGUAAAGGAGGAGAGUGUUCCUGGGAGAAGGAAUGGCCAGUACAGAGGCUCAGAAAUGGCUUGGAGCUCGUUGGUGUUUGAGGAAGAAGACGGAGGUGAGUGUUACUUAAAAGAUAUAAUUAUGUUACUCUGAGAUUUUCCAAUUUUUCCCUUUGGAUCAGAUGACCCUACUCUCCAGUAAGUGGUAGAAUUCUGGAUGACCUAAAGAAGAAACAAGCACCUUCUUCUCUGCACAAUGAUAAUGCUACAAAUCACACAGUUGGUACUUAGCUGACUUAAAGUGGUUUGUGUACACGUCUUCUCUCUCAACUAGAUGGCAAGCUUCUCGAAGGAGCAAGCUUUUUGUUCCUGAAGUGUCGGAAGUAUUCAACAGAUACGUGUCACUAAAAAACUGCAAUUCAGAUGCACAAAGUUGAGUAAUCGUAUGACUGGAAUGGCUCACAUUUGUAUCCAAGGUUGGCUCUCUCUCUGUGUUCCCCCCUUUUCACAGGAGAUAGAGUGGCUGAUUGAAACCAUUUG